ACACCACUACAUAUUCAUUGUGGACUGGUACAGAACAGGUACGUAUAAACAUAGAGCUAGCUAGAUCAUAGAUCAGGUACGCAUGUAUAAACAUAGAGCUAGCUAGAUCAUAGAUCAGGUACCUAGGUAUAAACAUAGAGCUAGAUCAUAGAUCAGGUACCUAGGUAUAAACAUAGAGCUAGAUCAUAGAUCAGGUACCUAGGUAUAAACAUAGAGCUAGAUCAUAGAUCAGGUACCUAGGUAUAAACAUAGAGCUAGAUCAUAGAUCAGGUACCUAGGUAUAAACAUAGAGCUAGAUCAUAGAUCAGGUACCUACAUAUAAACAUAGAGCUAGAUCAUAGAUCAGGUACCUACGUAUAAACAUAGAGCUAGAUCAUAGAUCAGGUACGUACGUAUAAACAUAGAGCUAGAUCAUAGAUCAGGUACGUACGUAUAAACAUAGAGCUAGAUCAUAGAUCAGGUACGUACGUAUAAACAUAGAGCUAGAUCAUAGAUCAGGUACGUACGUAUAAACAGGGCUAGAUCAUAGAUCAGGUACGUACGUAUAAACAUAGAGCUAGAUCAUAGAUCAGGUACGUACGUAUAAACAUAGAGCUAGAUCAUAGAUCAGGUACGUACGUAUAAACAUAGAGCUAGAUCAUAGAUCAGGUACGUACGUAUAAACAUAGAGCUAGAUCAUAGAUCAGGUACGUACGUAUAAACAUAGAGCUAGAUCAUAGAUCAGGUACGUACGUAUAAACAUAGAGCUAGAUCAUAGAUCAGGUACGUACGUAUAAACAGGGCUAGAUCAUAGAUCAGGUACGUACGUAUAAACAUAGAGCUAGAUCAUAGAUCAGGUACGUACGUAUAAACAUAGAGCUAGAUCAUAGAUCAGGUACGUACGUAUAAACAUAGAGCUAGAUCAUAGAUCAGGUACGUACGUAUAAACAUAGAGCUAGAUCAUA